UGGCCAUAUAGGCCGGACUACUGGUACUAUUGGUUUGUGUUGUAGAGUCGAGUGUCUGGUUAGUGUCUAGAACUUUAUCAUUACGUUAGGUUCUAGAUUGAGUUUGUGUUAUGUGAGUGUGCCGACAGUAUGAGUGUAACUCGUCCAUACUAGGCUUGUUUAGGGGUGAUUAGUGUUUCCUCAGCCUCGUACCCAGCGGGUUUAAGGAAACCCCUUAUUC
rnacentral:lncRNA from 1 species